rnacentral:ncRNA from 2 species
AUCGUUCAUCUUUAUAAGAGGCUCGAAAAUAGAUUUUUCAGCGCAAUCUCUUGUAGAGACGGAAGUAGGGAAACAUCCCCAAGGAACGCGCC